rnacentral:rRNA from 1 species
AACGAACGUUAGCGGCGCGCUUAACACAUGCAAGUCGAACGAGAAAGGGCUUCGGCCCCGGUACAGUGGCGCACGGGUGAGUAACACGUAGGUAAUCUUCCCUUGGAUGGCGGAUAACCCCUCGAAAGGGGGGCUAAUACGGCGUAAGACCACGUUUUCGAAAGAGAAUGAGGUAAAAGCGGGCCUCUGUAUACAAGCUCGCGUCUGAGGAUGAGCCUGCGGCCCAUCAGCUAGUUGGUAGGGUAACGGCCUACCAAGGCGACGACGGGUAGCUGGGUCUGAGAGGAUGAUCAGCCACACUGGAACUGAGACACGGUCCAGACUCCUACGGGUGGCAG